GAACAUGAGAGUUUGAUCCUGGCUCAGGACGAACGCUGGCGGCGUGCCUAACACAUGCAAGUCGAGCGGAGGCAGCACUUAACACUGAGUGCUCAGCUUGAUAGGGGUAAGUCUUAAGCCAGCGUCAAGCACGCGUAAGCGGGCUUUACGCAAAUUAGGAUAACACAUGCUGAGAACUGAGUGUUAAGUGCUGCCUUAGCGGCGGACGGGUGAGUAACACGUGGGUAACCUGCCCUUGAGAGGGGGAUAACAGGUCGAAAGGCCUGCUAAUACCGCAUAACGCUAAGAUGCCGCAUGGCGUCUUAGCCAAAGGUUAAUUCCGCUCAAGGAUGGGCCCGCGGCCCAUUAGCUAGUUGGUGAGGUAAUGGCUCACCAAGGCGACGAU
rfam:Thermobrachium celere DSM 8682 genomic scaffold, scaffold27